rnacentral:ncRNA from 1 species
CAGAGGAGCGGAUUUUAAGAGUAAGCUGCGGGAGGUUCCCGGAACCUGAGAAGGCAGCCCAAAGGGAAACCCGCCGAAGGAGAUUCGUCGGGAACGGGUCUGCCUGACCUUGGCGUUUAAGAAGCGCCGGGUUGUCAUCACGGGUGUGAUGGAGAGCUG